AUUGAACGCUGGCGGCAUGCCUUACACAUGCCAGUCGAACGGUAACAGGUCUUCGGAUGCUGACGAGUGGCGAACGGGUGCGUAAUACAUCGGAACGUGCCCGAUCGUGGGGGAUAACGGAGCGAAAGCUUUGCUAAUACCGCAUACGAUCUACGGAUGAAAGCAGGGGACCGCAAGGCCUUGCGCGGACGGAGCGGCCGAUGGCAGAUUAGGUAGCUGGUGGGAUAAAAGCUUACCAAGCCGACGAUCUGUAGCUGGUCUGAGAGGACGACCAGCCACACUGGGACUGAGACACGGCCCAGACUCCUACGGGAGGCAGCAGUGGGGAAUUUUGGACAAUGGGCGAAAGCCUGAUCCAGCCAUGCCGCGUGCAGGAUGAAGGCCUUCGGGUUGUAAACUGCUUUUGUACGGAACGAAAAGACUCUUUCUAAUAAAGAGGGUCCAUGACGGUACCGUAAGAAUAAGCACCGGCUAACUACGUG
rnacentral:rRNA from 1 species